UUUGUUGAAAGAUUUAUUGCAUACGGAUCGGCUCGCGUGCCAUUAGGUAGACGGCGGGGUAACGGCCCACCGUGCCGACGAUGGCUAGGGGUUCUGAGAGGAAGGUCCCCCACAUUGGAACUGAGACACGGUCCAGACUCCUACGGGAGGCAGCAGUGAGGAAUAUUGGACAAUGGCCGGAAGGCUGAUCCAGCCAUGCCGCGUGCGGGAAGACGGCCCUAUGGGUUGUAAACCGCUUUUGCGAGGGAGCAAUAAGGUUCACGUGUGGGCCGAUGAGAGUACCUCGCGAAUAAGCAUCGGCCAACUCCGUGCCAGCAGCCGCGGUAAUACGGAGGAUGCAAGCGUUAUCCGGAUUUAUUGGGUUUAAAGGGUGCGCAGGCGGCUUGUUAAGCGGGAGGUGAAAUGCCGGCGCUCAACGUCGGAAGUGCCUCCCGAACUGGUGAGCUUGAAUGACUCUGCCGUGGGAGGAAUGUGUAGUGUAGCGGUGAAAUGCUUAGAGAUUACACAGAACACCGAUUGCGAAGGCAUCUCACGAAGGGUUGAUUGACGCUGAGGCACGAAAGCGUGGGGAUCAAACAGG
rnacentral:rRNA from 1 species